CCGAGGUAGACAAAGGAGUCAAAGAUGAUGUUUAGGCUAACUCUUGAGCAACCUGGAGGGACGUGUAGCACCUUCCCUAAGGUGCUGGGGGGUGAAGGACCCAGCACGAGGUGUGGCAGUGAGAGGGCAGAGGAAGAGCUCACUCAGUUUGGGCCAUGCAGAACCAAAGAUGCUUUCGAGUCAUUCUGCAGACAGCUCUUAGAAGAAGCUGGCUCUGUGGGCCUAGAGCUCCAGAGAGCUGUCUGGUCGAGAACUACGGGUCUGGGCUCAUCAGCACAUGGACGGGAAACAUUUAAAAAGGGAAAAUAUUUGCCAGAUGUCCCACAGCCAGUGGCAGCGUGCAGAACUUAAACAUGCCAUGACCUCAGAUCUUAAUGCACAAAACCCUUUACUACAACAUCUCGGGGAUGCUAAGUCAUUGGAAUGGAGCUGAAGCCACGUGUCUAAAUAAAGCCUUAUUUCAUGGA